GGGGCUGUCUUGGCUUCGACAGGAAUAUAAGUCCUUAUUUUGCAGGUCGGAUACCUACGUUACAGGUAAAUAAAAAUAACUGGAAACAGAAACAAUUUAGCUGUUGCAUACGCUUAAUUUAAGCAGCACAGGCUUCUCUAUUUCUUUGCUUACGAGAAAUAACAGAAGCUUAUAAAGUAAGCUAUAAUAUAGCCCAUUUCUAUAAGUUAUAUCGAACAUAAUAGAAUCGAAAAUACUAAGUUUUGUUAAUUUAUAUAGUAUUUUCUAAAUCCUAAAAUUAACUAAACCUGUAGAUAAAUACUGAUAAGUAUUUUUGGACAGGGGUUCGAUUCCCCUCGGCUCCACCA
rnacentral:tmRNA from 1 species